rnacentral:rRNA from 1 species
UACGUAGGGUGCGAGCGUUGUCCGGAAUUAUUGGGCGUAAAGGGCUCGUAGGCGGUCCAUCGCGUCGGGAGUGAAAAGCUGGGGCUUAACCCCAGUCCUGCUUCCGAUACGGGUGGACUAGAGGUAGGCAGGGGAGAACGGAAUUCCUGGUGUAGCGGUGAAAUGCGCAGAUAUCAGGAGGAACACCGGUGGCGAAGGCGGCAUCCUGGACCGGCAUUGACGCUGAGGCGCGAAAGCCAGGGGAGCAAACGGG